rnacentral:tRNA from 1 species
AAGGAUGGUUCUUCAGAAGCUUGCUUCUAUCGAACCGUUUUAGAAACAUCAGUGGCCAACAGAUCGCCAGAUCGUUGAGCUGCAUUGGCGGGAUUUCGCCGUCUUCGUUUCUCUUUCUUCGCGGACGAACACGCGCUGGGGCUGCAGGCUUGCAGAUCCCUGGUCCUUGACUGGAUAUGCGUUAGGGGCUUGUAGCUCAGUUGGUUAGAGCGCGCGCUUGAUAAGCGUGAGGUCGGAAGUUCAAGUCUUCCCAGGCCCACCACUUUCAUCGAGUGUGCAUUCGUCUUCUGGUUACGGGGCCAUAGCUCAGCUGGGAGAGCGCGUGCUUUGCAAGCAUGAGGUCGUCGGUUCGAUCCCGUCUGGCUCCACCAGAUGGUUUGAUCACCGAGAUCUCGUACCGUCGUCCGCGAAACAUCACUUCGCACUUGCUAGUCCGGAUGGACAGCAGGCUGCGUGAUUUCUGACAUCGUAAAGAGGAGAUCGAUCCGAGUUGGAUCGUGCGGAGAAUAUCCGCGCGAGACUUCAUUAUCUCCGGAUCAUUUCGGCGCUCGCGCGCCUUUCAGUGUGGCUCACAAGGCUGCGUCUGAAAGACAUGCGAGUUGUGAAUGAUCCUUUUAGCGAAGCUUGACCGCCUCGCUAUCGGAACGAUCUUACGAAGCAAGCUGGUCUUUCUAGUCAAUGUCCGGCUGUACGUAGCGUUCAUCGAGGGCGCGUGCCUUAGAGACUUCGGUCUCUUGGCAGUCGUACAGACAACAUUCUGCCGAGUGUGUGGACAUUGAUAAUGAGAGCAAUCAAGUGCCUUAAGGGUGUUCGGUGGAUGCCUUGGCGCUGAGAGGCGAUGAAGGACGUGCUAC